CAUUACGGCCAUACCACCCUGAGCACGCUCGAUCUGGUCUGAUCUCGGAAGCUAAGCAGGGUCGGGCCUGGUUAGUACUUGGAUGGGAGACUGCCUGUGAAUACCAGGUGCUGUAAGCU
rnacentral:rRNA from 1 species